UCAAUUGUUUCAAGUGCUCUAACCCUAACUCAGCACAGCCAGCAGCCGCCGUCGCAGUCUUCCAGUCGUCAGCUGCCAACAAUCGGAUAUAAGUUUUUCCCUUAUUCUCUCUUCUCUCUUUCCUUCUGUCUUAAGAUUUAAUUCCUCUUUGUAACUGUUUUGCCGUUGAUUUUAGCACCAAUUUGUGCAACAGUAAUCUUUUUCCGAAGAAUCAUCAAGGUUACUGCUUCGAUCUUUCAUCCGAUCCUUUUUUAUUUCUCCAAUUUGUCUUUUCCCUGGGAAUCCUCAAUUCUUCGUUUUUGUUUUCAAUUUUCCGUGUUUCUAGAUAUUUGUAUGGUGACUGAAGUUUUUAAGGCUUUGAUGAAUCAAAGUCCUCUGCUAAUUGUUACAAGAUCAUUUUCUGACACUGAAGAAAUAAUUUGUUUCAUUUUUAUUUUCCUUUGUGAGAAUUUUGCUUAUUUUUCGUGCUUCAAUUAUGGUUUCUUCAUUUUUGAUCUUAACAGGAAACGCAAAGUCUCCUAAGUGAACCGGGAAAUUUCUUUGCUGUUUUAAUAGAAAUUAUUGUUGAAUUUUGUUUAAUAAUUUGUAAAAUUUUCAGUUGAUUGAAUAAUAGUUGGUCUGGGAUGAUUUAAAUAGUAAAGAGGGGCACCGAUGCAGAUUAUCUUUUAUCAUAAAAAAUGAUUUCUGUACGGACUCUAGUUAAAACUUGGAAAACUUUUCAUAAAUGAUUUUCGAGUGUUCAUUUUUCAGCAAUUAUUUUGUUGAAUUCUACAAGGUCUUGCAAUUUUACAGGACGAAUUUCAGCAGUUAUAACGAAAUCUUUUGUAACCUUGGUGCAUGGCCUGGAAACUAAAUUUUAUGCUGAAAUGGCUGCUAUGACCCGAGUUCCAAGGGGUACCAUUGAAAGUGUUGGGGACCAAUCAGGAUAUGUCAAUGGCAAAAAUAUAUGAUCCUUAGGAGCAGUAUUCCUGCGCUUGGGAGCCUUCUUUCACCUAUUUACUUCGUUUUUCUUGGACAAGAUAGCUGUUCUGUGCAACUUCCUUAUUGUUUAUUCUUGCGGCUUGCAUCAUCACUUGGCCCCCGGUUCUACCUGAACAUUUUCAAAUGCAAGCAGAUACCAGAAACAGAAGCCCAACAAGUACUUUUUAGUUUUCACCUGUUGUUUCUCAGUUUCCGCUAGUAUUCUAUUCAUGUGUUUAAGUAUAACUAAUAUUGGCAGUCUCUAACUCUACAUGUAUUAACUUUUGGUGAAUAUCAUCAUUUGAGAUGUUAACUCAUUUGCAAUUACUUGUAAUCAUCAUGUAUCAGCUUUUGAAU